rnacentral:rRNA from 1 species
GACGAACGCUGGCGGCGUGCUUAACACAUGCAAGUCGAACGGAAAGGCCCUGCUUUUGUGGGGUGCUCGAGUGGCGAACGGGUGAGUAACACGUGAGUAACCUGCCCUUGACUUUGGGAUAACUUCAGGAAAAUGGGGCUAAUACCGGAUAGGAGCUCCUGCUGCAUGGUGGGGGUUGGAAAGUUUCGGCGGUUGGGGAUGGACUCGCAGCUUAUCAGCUUGUUGGUGGGGUAGUGGCUUACCAAGGCUUUGAAGGGUAGCCGGCCUGAGAGGGUGACCGGCCACAUUGGGACUGAGAUACGGCCCAGACGCCUACGGGAGGCAGCAGUGGGGAAUAUUGCACAAUGGGCGGAAGCCUGAUGCAGCAACGCCGCGUGCGGGAUGACGGCCUUCGGGUUGUAAACCGCUUUCGCCUGUGACGAAGCGUGAGUGGCGGUAAUGGGUAAAGAAGCACCGGCUAACUACGUG